AUUGAACGCUGGCGGCAUGCUUUACACAUGCAAGUCGAACGGUAACAGGGUGCUUGCACCGCUGACGAGUGGCGAACGGGUGAGUAAUGCGUCGGAACGUGCCGAGUAGUGGGGGAUAACGCAGCGAAAGUUGUGCUAAUACCGCAUACGUACUGAGGUAGAAAGUGGGGGACCUUCGGGCCUCACGCUCUCCGAGCGGCCGACGUCUGAUUAGCUAGUAGGUGAGGUAAAGGGUCACCUAGGCGACGAUCAGUAGCGGGUCUGAGAGGAUGAUCCGCCACACUGGGACUGAGACACGGCCCAGACUCCUACGGGAGGCAGCAGUGGGGAAUUUUGGACAAUGGGCGAAAGCCUGAUCCAGCCAUGCCGCGUGUCUGAAGAAGGCCUUCGGGUUGUAAAGGACUUUUGACAGGGAGGAAAUCCCUAGUGCUAAUAACACUGGGGGAUGACAGUACCUGAAGAAUAAGCACCGGCUAACUACGUGCCAGCCGCCGCAGUAA
rnacentral:rRNA from 1 species